CGUAGGUGGUAGUGCAAGUCUGAGGUGGAAUCCUAUGGCUUAACCAUAGAACUGCCUUGGAGACUGCAUUACUUGAGUCAGUGAGGGGAGGGUAGAAUUCCUGGUGUAGCGGUGAAAUGCGUAGAUAUCAGGAGGAAGGCCGGUGGCGAAGGCGGCCCUCUGGCGCUGAACUGACACUGAGGCGCGAAAGCGUGGGGAGCAAACAGGAUUAGAUACCCUGGUAGUCCACGCCCUAAACGGUGGGUACUAGGUGUAGGGCUCGUAAGGGUUCUGUGCCGAAGCGAAAGCAUUAAGUACCCCGCCUGGGGAGUACGGCCGCAAGGUUGAA
rnacentral:rRNA from 1 species